UGAGCUUCUUUGAAGGGGAAGAGUAGUUAGUGGAUGCUAUCGCCAGAGAGCUGGAUCAGGUGAAAGCCAGCAUAGCCGAAGCUAAUGAACAUGGCCCUGGAGAAUUCUUUCUGAAAUGCUGAUCAGAGUAGGAAAGAACGUGAACCCGCGUUAGGGGUUUUGAAUGAGGGCAUCGCCAUGCUUGUUAGGCGAUGCUGAAAUUGGGUGGUACCGCGUGAAAUAAUCUCGCCCCAACU
rnacentral:ncRNA from 1 species